rnacentral:snoRNA from 1 species
UUUUCAUGAUGAUUACCCUUUAUUCAGUUCUGCUUAUGAGCACCGUGAUUAAAACAAUUUACCCUAAGCACACUUUUUCUGACGC